CAUCAUCCUAGGAGACCUGGCCAGCCUUAUCACUUUGUAGGCAUUUGAGAUUCAUGGGUUCUACAGCACACACCCACACAGGGCCCCCAGUCCUAGCUGUCCCAGGAAAUGUGCCACUGACCUGGGCAAAGGAGCAGAGGGCAGGUUAUGGAUUCUAUCUGGAUGUCACCCUCAAGCCCCUUGCACCCAGAGCAUGGACUCCUAUGGAAGGCAAUGCAACAAAAGAUGCUAUCAUAGUUAUUACUUCAGCAUCCGUCAACAGACCUACAUCAUCAUCACAUCCUGGUGCAGUGUAAGGUGAC
rnacentral:lncRNA from 1 species